GACAGAGACGCGCUCAAUCUGCGUUGUCUAACAAUCUAAACUACAAGAGUUACAGGUCUUCAAGUAAACAUGGAUUACAGGUAGACCAAUCACAGGCGUUCCUUGAGCACUUUUGAUGUCGUCAGCCUGUAAUACGGGAGCAUCUGCUGGUGGAGGAGGAAGUGUUGUCAUGGAGACGUCUAACUUCGCCCAUGUCAUCUUCCAGAAUGUUGGGAAAAGCUUCCUCCCGCAGGCAGCGCUUGAAUGUCAUUACACUCUCACCCCCUUCCUCACCCCACAUCCCAAAGACUGGGUUGGCAUCUUUAAGAGGAAAUGAGCGCACGGAAACUUUUCAUCUUGUUAAGAUACAAUGACAGUUUAUGACUGGUAUAAAAGGCACUUCAAAUUAACCAGAUCUUUCCAGACAGCAUUUAGAGUGGUGGGUUGCAGGGGAAAAUGUGGAUUGGAAAAAAUAUGGUUAAUCCACUCAAUAUCACUCUUGUUUUGAUGGUUAGUUUACGGGGAAUAGAGUUCCGGUGUGUGUGUGUGUUUGAUCACAUGUGCUGUUAUGCUGGAUGCUGUGGGUGUUUCCCAUGACAAAUUAUUCCUUCCUUAUGCUUUUGCUUUAGUAUGUUCUCCUUUCAUCCUUGCAACUUCAAUAAGAUGUAGUGUAAUAACAUAUAUUAGCUGCUAUAUGUAAUGCAUUACUGGAUAAUAGUAGUCACACUUAUAAAUGGAUGGAUGUAUUCAGACAAUAUCUAUGGACUGGCAAUUCAUUAUCAAUGAUGUAAUGUGGGAAUUAUUCUUCAGGCACUCACACAC